GGUUCACCUGGGACUGUCUCAUAGGGGGGGCUGCUGGUUUCCAUGACCUCACUUGCCUGAUAAUGAUGCUGCAGAUCCUCCUCAUCAUCACACAAACAUAAGAGGACAACAAAUGAACUCAGUCAGUCAGACGGUUGAAGAAAGCAACAAAGAAGACGUUUAUUCCCCCCCUUAACGCCGACGCAGCACAAGAAGGUCAUGUUCUUCACAUUUACUGUGCUUCCACCUUCAUCACAUGAAGUGCUACUGAACCCUGAAUCUGAGUUUUUAUGAAGUGGAUGACAUCCGCAGAUGUGACCUGAUUCUCUGCACAGGCAGCUUUCUGUCACCGCCGGACGCUUCAGGAUGUGUGCGCUGAAUCCUUAAUAGUGGUGCUCUCACUAAAAACGGAGAGGCCGGCUACAAGAUGUGAUUAAGACAAGGAGAGAGAGAGAGAGAGAGGCGUCUCGGAUGUCACAGUGUUUGGGUUUUAGUGAAUCCCUCCUCCUCUGACCCCUGGCUGUCCGUCAGUCGCGGCGGCUCGGCUCACAGAUCAGAUAUCUCUGUGGAGAGGAGACCGUCUGCUAAUCAACAGCCGCCGCCGCCGCCGCCGCCUCACAGCUUCCUCCGCUCAGAGCACAAAGCAUUUAUGAGUCUGGGUCAGGGUGUAUCUUUUCAUUUCAUUUAUUUAUUUUAAUGAAGAUCUUUGAUACUUCUCUACUGUGUUCUAACAGAAGCUGCUAUUGUUUUUCUUUGAGUCUUUUUUUUUGGCACAUUUUCAUUCAGUUCAUCAAUAAAAAUUGAGUCUUUGAUCUCUUUGGAGUCACUUCAAGAUUUCUUCAGUGUUUGUGCUCUGAUGCAAAACAUCCAGUCUGUCACUGAUGACUGAUGCUCAGACUAUUUUCCCUUUUACACAUAAAUCAGAUGAAAUAUAUAACCACAUUCACAACAAAUGUAAGAUUUUAUAUCUAAUAUUAGCAGAUUUAAAAUGUAACAUUUAAGGAGCGGAAGACGUCCUGCCCGGCGUCUGUUUGCUGAGCUAAAAGCUCAAAAGAUGGAAAAACGUGAUGGAAAUAUGACAUUUCUGUUUGUUUCAUGUAUUCAUUUCAGAAACAUCGCUGAUAUAAACAGUCUGGAAAUGUCAAUAGAGUGUCUGUAAAAAUAUGAAUAUUAUUAAAAACAGAACUGUGAAAAUGUUGACAUUUUUUAU